rnacentral:misc_RNA from 1 species
GUAUUAAUUGCGUGUGAUCGCAAAAGAAAAACAUUCUACACUGUAUCGAGUUUGUGUGAAAACGUGAGCCCCCGAAAGGGGACCCACGCGGUGAUGCACAAAGGGUGAGAUGGAUUGUGAGAGGGCUCGGGCGUGCACGACCCGGAAAGGUCAGCGACAGCCCUCGCGCCUCGGUUGUACGAUAAUGAUCCUUCCGCAGGUUCACCUACGGAAA